rnacentral:rRNA from 1 species
GUCGACGAACCCUUCGGGUUAGUGGCGGACGGGUGAGUAACGCGUGGGAAUCUGCCCUCAGGAGGGGGAUAACGGCUGGAAACGGCCGCUAAUACCCCAUAUGCCGAGAGGUGAAAUGAAUUUCGCCUGAGGAUGAGCCCGCGUCUGAUUAGCUAGUUGGUGAGGUAAGAGCUCACCAAGGCAUCGAUCAGUAGCUGGUCUGAGAGGAUGAUCAGCCACACUGGGACUGAGACACGGCCCAGACUCCUACGGGAGGCAGCAGUGGGGAAUUUUCCGCAAUGGGCGAAAGCCUGACGGAGCAACGCCGCGUGAGGGAUGAAGGCCUCUGGGCUGUAAACCUCUUUUCUCAAGGAAGAAGAUCUGACGGUACUUGAGGAAUAAGCCACGGCUAAUUCCGUGCCAGCAGCCGCGGUAAUACGGGAGUGGCAAGCGUUAUCCGGAAUUAUUGGGCGUAAAGCGUCCGCAGGCGGCCCUUCAAGUCUGCUGUUAAAACGUGGAGCUUAACUCCAUCAUGGCAGUGGAAACUGUUGGGCUUGAGUGUGGUAGGGGCAGAGGGAAUUCCCGGUGUAGCGGUGAAAUGCGUAGAUAUCGGGAAGAACACCAGUGGCGAAGGCGCUCUGCUGGGCCAUAACUGACGCUCAUGGACGAAAGCCAGGGGAGCGAAAGGGAUUAGAUACCCCUGUAGUCCUGGCCGUAAACGAUGAACACUAGGUGUCGGGGGAAUCGACCCCCUCGGUGUCGUAGCCAACGCGUUAAGUGUUCCGCCUGGGGAGUACGCACGCAAGUGUGAAACUCAAAGGAAUUGACGGGGGCCCGCACAAGCGGUGGAGUACGUGGUUUAAUUCGAUGCAACGCGAAGAACCUUACCAGGGUUUGACAUCCUGCGAACCUCUUGGAAACGAGAGGGUGCCUUCGGGAACGCAUUGACAGGUGGUGCAUGGCUGUCGUCAGCU